GGGAUUGCCCCAGUAACGGCGAGUGAAGCGGCAACAGCUCAAAUUUGAAAUCUGGCCCUCGGGUCCGAGUUGUAAUUUGUAGAGGAUGCUUUUGGCGAGGUGCCUUCCGAGUUCCCUGGAACGGGACGCCAUAGAGGGUGAGAGCCCCGUCUGGUCGGACACCGAGCCUCUGUAAAGCUCCUUCGACGAGUCGAGUAGUUUGGGAAUGCUGCUCAAAAUGGGAGGUAUAUGUCUUCUAAAGCUAAAUAUUGGCCAGAGACCGAUAGCGCACAAGUAGAGUGAUCGAAAGAUGAAAAGCACUUUGAAAAGAGGGUUAAAAAGUACGUGAAAUUGUUGAAAGGGAAGCGCCUAUGACCAGACUUGAGCCCGGUGAAUCAUCCAGCGUUCUCGCUGGUGCACUUUGCCGGGCCCAGGCCAGCAUCAGUUUGGCGCGGGGGAUAAAGGUGACGGGAAUGUGGCUCCCUCGGGAGUGUUAUAGCCCGCUACGUAAUACCCUGCGCCGGACUGAGGUACGCGCAUUGCAAGGAUGCUGGCGUAAUGGUCAUCAGCGACCCGUCUUGAAACACGGACCAAGGAGUCGUCUUCGUAUGCGAGUGUUCGGGUGUCAAACCCCUACGCGUAAUGAAAGUGAACGCAGGUGAGAGCUUCGGCGCAUCAUCGACCGAUCCUGAUGUUCUCGGAUGGAUUUGAGUAAGAGCAUACGGGGCCGGACCCGAAAGAAGGUGAACUAUGCCUGUAUAGGGUGAAGCCAGAGGAAACUCUGGUGGAGGCUCGCAGCGGUUCUGACGUGCGAAUCGAUCGUCAAAUAUGGGCAUGGGGGCGAAAGACU
rnacentral:rRNA from 1 species